UGGGGAAUUUUGGACAAUGGGCGAAAGCCUGAUCCAGCAAUGCCGCGUGUGUGAAGAAGGCCUUCGGGUUGUAAAGCACUUUUGUCCGGAAAGAAAUCCUUGGCUCUAAUACAGUCGGGGGAUGACGGUACCGGAAGAAUAAGCACCGGCUAACUACGUGCCAGCAGCCGCGGUAAUACGUAGGGUGCAAGCGUUAAUCGGAAUUACUGGGCGUAAAGCGUGCGCAGGCGGUUUGCUAAGACCGAUGUGAAAUCCCCGGGCUCAACCUGGGAACUGCAUUGGUGACUGGCAGGCUAGAGUAUGGCAGAGGGGGGUAGAAUUCCACGUGUAGCAGUGAAAUGCGUAGAGAUGUGGAGGAAUACCGAUGGCGAAGGCAGCCCCCUGGGCCAAUACUGACGCUCAUGCACGAAAGCGUGGGGAGCAAACAGGAUUAGAUACCCUGGUAGUCCACGCCCUAAAACGAUAUCAACUAGUUGUUGGGGAUUCAUUUCCUUAGUAACGUAGCUAACGCGUGAAGCUGACCGCCUGGGGAGUACGGUCGCAAGAUUAAAACUUAAA
rnacentral:rRNA from 1 species